AACGAACGCUGGCGGCAGGCCUAACACAUGCAAGUCGAGCGCCCGCAAGGGAGCGGCGGACGGGUGAGUAACGCGUGGGAACGUGCCCUUUGCUACGGAAUAGCCUCGGGAAACUGAGAGUAAUACCGUAUGUGCCCUUCGGGGGAAAGAUUUAUCGGCAAAGGAUCGGCCCGCGUUGGAUUAGGUAGUUGGUGGGGUAAUGGCCUACCAAGCCGACGAUCCAUAGCUGGUUUGAGAGGAUGAUCAGCCACACUGGGACUGAGACACGGCCCAGACUCCUACGGGAGGCAGCAGUGGGGAAUCUUAGACAAUGGGCGCAAGCCUGAUCUAGCCAUGCCGCGUGAGCGAUGAAGGCCUUAGGGUUGUAAAGCUCUUUCGUGGGGGAAGAUAAUGACGGUACCCCAAGAAGAAGCCCCGGCUAACUCCGUGCCAGCCGCCGCAGUAAUAC
rnacentral:rRNA from 1 species